CUGGCCAUUCCCUGAGGCAGCAGAUGGCCUGGGGUGAGCUGCUUUUUAUGGCUGCCCGGUCCUUGUCCAUCACGGCGAGGUUGCACCACUCCCGAGGUGAGCCAGCCUUGGCUGGAUUGUCACUCCUUGUGACACGAGAUCAGGAGAGAGGAGGUGGCUGCAGGUUCAGCAGCCUCGAGCUCUGCUGAUAACACAGGCUCAACCUGGAGGGGAAGACCAAAACCUCCAACAAUUUGUUCCUGCUGGGAAAUCUGCAGUGAGAACACACAGAAAGCCCUCAGCUGCUGAUCCUGGCUUCUUUCCUUUCCUACCUCAAGCAAAGCAUCAUCUCUUCGUGCAGCUGUGGACACAGAGAGUGGAAAUUUCUUCUUCAGCUGAGCAGAACCAGCCCUGCCUGCCCAUCUGAAUUACCCAACGCAGGUUACAUAAUUUUCACUUUUAUCACCAGCCCUGGCACUGGAUCUGGGAGCUAUUCUGGGCUCUGAUAACACUCCCAAAUUCCCAGCUCCAGAGUGGCGAGUGACUCAACCCAAGCUGCUGCACCUCAGGACAUUGACUUGGAAGAUAACGGGGCAUGGAGGGCAAUAAAAUAUUUCAGCAAUUUCCACUUGAAGCUGGACACGAGGAGAAGAUGGAUGUGAUGAGGAAGCAGGCUGGAAACCACGUGGGCACAGGCAGGAAGGCAGACAGAAGAGUCUCUUUAUACCUGAGUCAUUUCCACACUUAAACUGCUCAUGGUGUCUUUCCCAUCAAGGACUUGCAACAUCUUUUGUGGUCUGUGAAAUGGUCUACAGCAAAUAGGUGUGGGAAAUACUGGAAAAACCCCAAAAAACCACAGCCCAAAAGCACCCAAACACAACAAAAUGACACACACACUAAAAUCCCCACCAAAUUAUGCUCUGGAUUAAUAUCCAACUCCCAACUGUCAUAAAUCAGCAAAGCCGAGGAUUCAUCACCAGGACACAGCAGCUGAUAAAUGACCUUUAUCUGCCUCUAUGAUUAAACGACUCUUCUGCAAUUCUCAUCAAUAAAACAGGACAAAAACUAUUUACCCUGGCCUGUCAUGGGCAUAAAUUCCUUUCUAAUUUUUUUUUAACUCAUUAAAAACUGCACACUCAUGGAUUUUGAAACAACACAGGGCGGGCAAAGGCUGUUUAUGCAAUAUGCAAAGUGUAGUGUGUGAAAUACAUAUUUAUGAAACCUGAAAAACAGUGGAGAAUUAGGAUUUCUUGGCUGUAUAAUGACUUAGUUUGUUGUUAGAGAUCACCUCACUUCAGAGGACAUGCCUAUAUCCUCUCAACAAUAAACUUAAAUCCAAACUUCAAUGCUAUUCAUGCCUGCAGGUUAUCCCAGUUUGGGAAAAGAAUUUGCUAGAAGGCCAUUUUGCUCUAAAAUGAGGUGGAUACAGAAAUUGCAUGGAGAAAAAAAGUCCAAUUGCACCUCCAGAACUUCAGCAAAAAUAGAAUUCUGUCUUUUCUCUGGCUGCUGGAGCAAUGGGCUGCUCCCCCUGCCCAAGCCAAGGGACUUUGUGGCAGUGGUGUGCCAAUGCUUGCCAGCAGAACCAGGCUGUGCCCUGGCUGCCCUCCCCUCUGAAGCAAUUAUUAUCACUGCUUUUAAUGAAGGGAUAGGACCACAGUCAGGCUAAAAACGAUUUAUUGUUCAAAUAGACAUCAGUCUCGGAGGCUGUGAGAUUUUAGAGGAGCAAGCAGUGGGCCAUAGCUCAAAAUGAUCACAAGUUCUUUGUUACAAGACAAUAUAGAACUUUCUAAUCCAAUGGACAGUUGCCACAAAGUUUUUAUUUUUAAAAUAUAGGGGGGUUUUUUGUUUGUUGUUGUUUGUUUGUUCUUUUUUUUUUAAAUUUUGCUUUUCUAACCUAUCACCUUUACUUACUUCCACUUUUAUCCCAUGGGCUGCUAUCCCACAUACACACAUGUGAUUCUAUUUUAACAUCUAAACUCUUAAUUUACUCUAUACAAUUACACCCCUACAUUAUAAACCCUUCACCACCUUAUCAAUACAAUUCCUCACUUACUUAAAGCAUAUUCUUACUUACAACUAUAGGAACGUGUUUAUGAUUUUUCUGCUUAACGUCUGUGUAUUGUAUUUUUACAUCAAUGCAAGCUUCUUGCAAGGCUGCAGAUCAAAUCCUCCUGUGUCUGUGGAAGUUUUCACAUUUGCAUUUCCCACAUGAAGCUGUGUUGUAACAGAAAAAGGAUGGGUGUGUGACCAGAGAUGGUGACACAGAAAUCAGCUGUCCCUUGGUGACACAGGCCAGGUGCCACUCCAGGAGCCAGGGGACAGCACAAGGUGACAACUUUCUGCUGAUGGCUGACUGGUGGAACCCUGGCUGCUGAGAAUUUCAGACUUUCUGUGCUGGCAGGCACUGUCCCCCAAGAGAACACUGUCCCCCAAGAGAACACUGCAUUUGACCUGAGGCUGUGGGGAAGGCUUCCAAAAUUAACCCAGAAAUUAAUCACUCAUGGCCUGCAGUGCAGGCUACAGA